AACCCAUGGUGAGGGCACCUUUUCAAUAGAUUCUUAUAUCUCUCCCAUGCAUCAUAGAGUGUUUCUACAUCCAUCUGCACAAAAGAAGAGAUAUCAUUCCUUAACUU
rnacentral:snoRNA from 1 species